AACGACUCUCGGCAACGGAUAUCUCGGCUCUCGCAUCGAUGAAGAACGUAGCGAAAUGCGAUACCUGGUGUGAAUUGCAGAAUCCCGCGAACCAUCGAGUCUUUGAACGCAAGUUGCGCCCGAGGCCAUCCGGUCGAGGGCACGCCUGCCUGGGCGUCACGCCAA
rnacentral:rRNA from 1 species